rnacentral:rRNA from 1 species
AAUACAUGCAAGUCGAGCGGACCGACGGGAGCUCGCUCCCUUAGGUCAGCGGCGGACGGGUGAGUAACACGUGGGUAACCUGCCUGUAAGACUGGGAUAACUCCGGGAAACCGGGGCUAAUACCGGAUGCUUGAUUGAACCGCAUGGUUCAAUCAUAAAAGGUGGCUUUUAGCUACCACUUACAGAUGGACCCGCGGCGCAUUAGCUAGUUGGUGAGGUAACGGCUCACCAAGGCGACGAUGCGUAGCCGACCUGAGAGGGUGAUCGGCCACACUGGGACUGAGACACGGCCCAGACUCCUACGGGAGGCAGCAGUAGGGAAUCUUCCGCAAUGGACGAAAGUCUGACGGAGCAACGCCGCGUGAGUGAUGAAGGUUUUCGGAUCGUAAAACUCUGUUGUUAGGGAAGAACAAGUACCGUUCGAAUAGGGCGGCACCUUGACGGUACCUAACCAGAAAGCCACGGCUAACUACGUGCCAGCAGCCGCGGUAAUACGUAGGUGGCAAGCGUUGUCCGGAAUUAUUGGGCGUAAAGCGCGCGCAGGCGGUUUCUUAAGUCUGAUGUGAAAGCCCCCGGCUCAACCGGGGAGGGUCAUUGGAAACUGGGGAACUUGAGUGCAGAAGAGGAGAGUGGAAUUCCACGUGUAGCGGUGAAAUGCGUAGAGAUGUGGAGGAACACCAGUGGCGAAGGCAAC